CAAUGAGAAGGGGUGCGGGGACCAAGCGGCGGCAGCUGGAGCGCGGCGGCUGCGCGCGCGCGAGUGUGUGUGUAUGUGUUUGUGCAUGUAUGUGUGCAUGUGUGUGUGCAUGUGUGUGUAUGUGUGUGUGUAUGCGUGUGUGUGCCCCCCCGCCGAACGGGGAGUCAGGUGGGACACACACACACGCUCUCACGCAGCCCCCCCCCCCCUCUGUCUCUGCACUCCCUGCCCCUUCCCCGCUUUCCUCCUUUGCCUUCUUCCUUCCCUCGCUCCUUUAUUUAUUUCCAUGCCCGCUCCCCGCCGCUGCCCCUCGCAACCCCUCCCGGGCAGAGACCUCCGAAACGCGGUGGCGACCUCCCGGGACGGGGCCUUGCUGCAUAAGGGCACGCAGCCCCCGGGGUGGCCACCCCGUCAGGUUCCGCCGCGCCGCGCGUUGUCGGGAGCUGCGCAUCAGCCCCACACCCCGGUCUCGGCUGCUGUGUCACCUGGCACCAUGUGCUCCUCAACAGCGCUGUUUGAGAAUUGUCUUUAUUCGUGGAACUUCUCCGUGGAGAGGGACUUUUUUCUUUUGUUUUUUUAAGCCCUUCUUUCCCAUCUUUGCCACUGCACAAUUUGGAUGUGGAGUUCCUGGAAAGUGAACGCUGGCAAUGAGUGCAGCUUUCCCUGAAAGCUGAGGCUGCUGCUUAUUGCCUAUUGAGAAUAGAGGGGACCGUGGAUGUCAGCUCCAUCUUUUUUUUCUUUUUUUUUUUUUUUUUUUUUUUUUUUUUUUUUUUUCUUUUUUCUUUUAUUUUGACUUUCAGGCAUAUUUCCUCUUCCUGCUCUGGGAAUUGGCAGAUACAGUUCCUGUAGGCAACUUUGCAUCAAGACAGAGACUGUGGAGUCGAUACCUCAAUGCUUUUCUUAGCUGUGCACUUCUAUUAAUUGGUGUUAGAAAGUGCAACCUUGUAGCACAGUUAUUGAAUAAUCAUUAAUCUGUGGAGGAUACACAAGCCCAAAGGUUAAUAAUAACAAUUAAUAAUAGUGACUUUGCUAGCAGGGAGACUAUUUUCUCAUAGUUAUUAAAAGGCACUCCCAUUUAUGCUAUGUAUGGAGAGGUGAAUUUGGCCCUGGCGUGCUGUGUACCACAUUACUGCAGCAAGCCCACAGAUGAAUCCUUCCCAUUAUCUCCAUGCUGUCAGGCCUCUCACUUUUUCUCCCUUUAAAAUGUAUCAAGCACUGCUCUCAUUUUAAAUAGAAAUGCUCAAGCUUUAAUCAAUUCUGACAUUUCCACUGGAAAAUAACAUUUAGCUCUCUUACAUAGAUAAAAAUUUAUUUGCCUACAGCUGGUCUGCUGCAGUGCUUUGGACCUAUUUGCUUCUCAGAGAAGAGUUGGCUUUUCAUGGUCUCUAGGUACCAUGGGGCAAUAAAUAGAAAGUCAGUGCAAGGGAAAUGUUCACACUUUUGCAGGCACAACAUUCCACUGCCUCCUCGCUGAGCUCUUCAGUCUGCCUAACCAGCAUGCUCCUGUUGUCCAAGACCCGUCUCCUUUAUUUGUAUCACACCCCUGUCUGGCUGGUCAGUGAAUCCUAAUAAUAAUCGUGUUUCAUGUCUCAGAAAUCUAAUAAUCAAGUUACUCAUUCGUAUAAAUUGCAACUAAGCUGUUUGGGUUCGUUGUUCUAUCCCCACUUUAAAGGCAGGGAAACUGAAACAGGAAAAUUAACGCAUUUGCCCGAGGCCACACUUGGAUUUAAGAGUAGGUCCAGCACAGGAACUGAGUUCUGUAUUUAGACCAUGCUUCCUCUUAAAGAUUCUGAAGCACACUGUAGAAAAUGUUUUUAAAGAAAGGAAUGUAGUAUAAACCAUAUUUUUCAUUGACUUUGUAUACUAGUCAAAUCCAAUUCCUUUUUUUUUUUUUUUAAAUAUAUAUUGUGUUUCUUUUUCUAAACACAAGAUUUAUUUGACUUUUGACAAAGCAUGGUGGUACCUUUCAGUUGCAGUCAGCUUACUGUGGAAACAAGAAGCAUUUACUAUGAGAUUGUGAGCAGUAAUGGGAACAGAAUUGCUUGUUGUUAGGUUAUUGUAAACAAUAUCCAUUGGAUGUUACGGUGUAGUUGUAGGCCAGCACAACAUAAUGAGAAGUUCAGCAUUAGUAUAGAUAAGGUGCUCUUGCUUACCUGGUAUGCAUCAGUUUCCACUGUAAUUCUCCUUCAGUGCUUUCAGCAGCAAAAUACUUAGUGUGGCUUUAAGCACUGAAAAACAUGUGGGACAACCAUAUACCAUGAAAGUUAUGAUUUAUAUCAUUAAGCAGUGAGUUUUGCAGAGUUGUGUCACUCAUGUCAAUGAAGCAAGAAGUAUUCUGCCGGCCCUUUAGCUGUGGCAUGUCAUCAAAGCUAUAUUAUGGUAUGACUGAGCGCAGAUGGCAUGUCUAAAAAGCAGGUGUACAAUAUAACUUUCAUAUUACUGACACGUAGAUAUUUCCUCUUCCUCAAUGUCCAUUCCCAGAUGUUUGCUUGCCCAGACUUCUACAGGAACUAUAGAAAGUCCUGCUCAUCCCUCAUGUCUGGAUUUGUAUCGUCAAAACCCGUACAGAAUAUGUGCUUACAUAUAUUUGUAUGCAUUUAUGCUGACAGCUCCUUUCUGAGUUUUUUUUCAGGGUCCUGAUUUGAGGAAAGUGGAUGCAGAUCUCACUCAAAUAAUCUUUCUCCAAUACCAUCAACAUUGCCUGCCAAAAAUAAAAGUGGCAUAUGAAUCACAAUAAUUCACUCAUGAUUUGGUGGAUUUAAAGCCUGCGAAGGAGCAUUAGAAAUCCACAUGAUGUUCCUGAGUUUUAUGGACUUCGAGUGGUGGUAAAAGGAUAUUUAGCCAAGGACCUAUCUUAUACGUACUGCAGAUCUAUCACGUAUUCAAGUGAAGGGCAAUAUUAAUGAAACUAUCUCUGUUCAAAUGUUUAUCUUUCAGGUGAGGUGACGAAACUGUUGAAUCUGCAGACUGAAACCAUCGGAAGCCUUUUCUGAGGUGCCCCUUACCGAAAUGUUACUAUGGCAUAAUGAUUUGGAAAUAAGUUUUGUGUGAGAAGAGCUAUCAGAUCCCCUGGGAAACAUUACAGAUACUUUUCAGUUCCUUUCAGACAUCUGGAGCUUGAAAUGGUCAAUAUUAAGAAGAAACACCGCAUAAAUGUGUGUAUAUGUAAGAGUUAUGUUGACCCAUGAUUAAAAGAGAAGGUCGUCUUCUGCCAUUCAUCACAGACUGGCUUCAGUUUCUUCCAGCCAUUCACUGGAGGUGCUUGUUUCUAGGCCCUGAUGCUGCACAGUACCUCAAUCCAUUCAGCUUCUCUUCAAGAUGGUAACUACUUUCCGCUCCACGUAUCUGCUGCGGAAGAUCUUGUGAUUACCUGAAAAAGUGAAUUGCAUCCUGUAGAUUUCCCCUUAAAACUUUUGCUUCACAGAAAAGUUCAGCUUGUGACAGAUGCGUCAGUGAUGUGAGACUCACUUCUCUGUUGCCUAAUUGCCCUCUCCACCUUCUGUCAAUCUGAAACUUUCAUUUUGGAAAGGAUUGAAGGAGUUGUAUUAAUAUUUGUGCUAGCCACUAUUUUUCCUGCACAUUUUCUCCUUUCCUUUGGUGUCUGGUUUGUCUUGGCUGCUUCUAAAAAUUCUGUUGCCUCUAGUAAGGGACUGCCAGAUUAAACCAGUACAGAGAAGCCAGGUGACUGUCUACUUUUACAAAUAUAGGUUGUGUAUAAUAAAUUCAGGUUUUACAUCUAUGCAAAUGAAGUCAUCAUAUGAUUCUGACUACAUGCAUUUUUUUAUCAAAUAUGGCAUAUAUUUCACAAAUUAUAUUUAACUUAUACACAUGUUGCUAUUCUGAAUACCUGACUAGGAAUUGCAAAGUGUGCCACCAGAUCUUAGUAAAUGGGCUUAUGGAACAAGAAGAAAUAAGGGAAAAUCACCUCUUUUCCUUGCAUUAUGGACAAGUCCAGUGUAAGGGCUAUUCCUAAUCUAGAUGGCAAUAUAAACACCACAGAGAUGUUCAGAGGUACAUCUUUUUGUUGGGAAUUAAAGAAUUUACAAAUAAUAAAACAAAAUGCCCUAAAAAAAGGAAGUUUUAAAGUAAUGUGUCUUUGGUCUAGUGUUUGUCACAGCUACUUGGUAUGGCCUUCCUCUAAUGUUUCAGUCAUGCAGAAUAAGACAUUAGUCACAGUGUCAAAAUAAGCAUGUUACUUCUGCAAAAAUGUAUUUUCACCUCAGGAAUAUUGUGAAGUGAAAAUAGGAUUUAGCACAAUUCUUCCUUUUGAGUUUUUCUACAGACAGGACAGUUUAGUGAUACACAGAUAGUGUAAAGUUCUAAAUCUUGCAAGAUGAUCCCCAACUGCAGGUAUGACACACCUGGAAGAAUCUGCCAACUGAGUGCUGGCUAGGAUUAAGCUGAAAAGGCAAGAACUCAGUGCUUUCAGUGUUAACUGUCCUCAACAUCUGCUGGUUUGGUUUUUUUUUGUUGUUGUUGGGUUGUUUUUUUUUUGUUUCUUUCUUUCUUUCUUUCUUU